AACGUGGAUGAUGCAAGUGGCCUCGGCCUGCAGUGAAGAUGGCUGUGAAAUUUCCCAUGCCACAGGAUAUUCUCAGAGCUGGGACAGGCUCUCUGAGGACUGUGAAGGGUGCUGAUGUGAGCUCCCCUUCCAGACAGAGCUGGGCAGAGUUCAUGCCCGCUGGCUCCAUUGUGUUCCUCGGGUGUGUCCUGAUUGGGUUGAACUGGAGUAUUUGCACCACUGUUUGAGAUUUAAAUCUAUGAAGGGUGACUCCCUCCUCAAAGGAACUGGAAGAAGCAGAAGAGGAGGCGAUCUACUCCCCUAAGCCUACCAUCCACAUCCCGGUUUUUUUCCCCAAAGAUUCUGCCUCUGGGAAGGCAGGCUUCUGGAACACUCCUAGGGGGACCUGCUCCGUGGCAGCUGCCUUUGGAUGCCAUCACCAUGGCAAAUCCCCACAGCUCUUGUUAAAAGUGUGCACAGAAAUCCCUGCAGGGUACCUGAGGACUCCGCCCUCUUCGAAGUCAACAUGGGGAGCUUUCUUGGGCUAUGGUACCAUGUGCCCUGACAUCCACACUGACCAGCUCUGUGGCUUCUGACACAGUCUCCAUCUUAUCUGCAAAGAUGACUCUGUACACACAUUGGUCUGUGAUUUUGAUCUAAGAAUUAAAUAAAACCUUAUGUUCAGAGAC